ACCGCAGGACACACUCACUCUCACACACACACACACACAAACACACACUCGUACGCACACUUACGAGGCGUUAACAUAACCGUGAAGACUUCGUGCCGACGCCAAAAUAUACCGUUAACUCUUUUUCGAAAUUAAACCAUACGAAAUGCUAACGAGUGUUUAGAACUGUGCCGUAAAUUCUAUGAUAAUCUGAUCAAUUUGUAUGCAAUGCAAAUGCAAGACUAUUGA